rnacentral:misc_RNA from 1 species
GUGAAUAUAGCGCAUCUCUUCGGAGAGCGUGACCUCCACUUUCAACUCUGUGCAUUUUUUGGCGAAGGAACGAGACGAAGCGACGCAAGUUGCAGACUCUCGCCUCUUGCGGCUCAUUUUAAACACUAGUUAAAGUAUGUAACGAAAUAUCGAAACAAA